GACCUGAUGACAUGCCGGCACAUAUUAAAUCUUCGAUGUUUGGUUGUGCCUUGACGAUUCCUAUCACCGACGGGCGUCUCAACAUGGGAACUUGGCAGGGUAUAUGGCUUUGUGAACAUCGUGAUGACCCUACUCCUCGCACGAUCGUGAUUACGCUCAGCGGGAUCUAAAAUGGCCAAGGCUCUGCAAAUUCAGCGUGGUGAUUUUCAUGUGCAUAUAC